rnacentral:tRNA from 1 species
GCUCCAGUGGCGCAAUCGGUCAGCGCGGUACUUAUAAGAUAGUAACCUGCAGAGUGAUGCCGAGGUUGUGAGUUUGAGCCUCACCUGGAGCA